rnacentral:lncRNA from 1 species
UUUAAAACUGUGAUUAUAGAACAAAAACCUGGGGAUGGCUGAGUGGGCCGGGGGCGUUCGUCAUUGAAUAUUAUGUGUUUUUCCCGUAGCUGCCUAUUGGUGCUUUAUUUACUUAAUCAUAAUGUAGAAUAUUUUUAAGUCAUCACAAAUGUUCGAGUUGAUGAUCAUUCUGGUCCAUGCACUGCUGAUAAUAUCAUUGAAUGGAAUUGUAAACAUCAUGAAUAUAUACAUAAUUUCAUAUUUCGGCACAUUCUCUUUCAAUACCACUUUCAUUGAUUGUUGCCGGUUUUAUGCUUUAAACCUUAUCUUUGAUAUCUUCAUAAAAAUAUCCAGUGAUGUGUGGUUGGUAAACAUAUGGGUUCACUGCUACCUCCUGUCCUUGGACUUGUGUUUUUGUUAGAAGUAACAUAAAUGUUUCACCUGUUUGGAAUUUCUGUUCUGGGGAUAUUACCAUUAUUCAGGUGAAGCUUGAUGAGGGUGGUAUUAGUAGGUAACUUAUAGUUUCCUCUGCAUAUUAUCCAAUCCAUCUGUUUGGUAGAUUUUCCAAAUAGUUCAGUUCUUCAGUCAAGAUCAUGUUCAUUGAUGGUAUAGACUUAUGUUAGAAUAAAACUUUUCCAAUGGGCAUGUUUCAAAAUGUAAUAAACACUUGAUUUUGAAAUUCUAUCUCACGAACUGCAUGCCAAAUAGAUUUUCUUAGAUAUUGGCAGUAAGUUUACAGCAGUUCAUUUUCUCUUUUAAAAGUCACGGCCAUCUGCAAUCUUUCAGAAUGUUGCUUCUAGACAUCUUGAACAGUUUCAUUUGCUUCAAAGUUAUCUCUAAUCUGAAUAAUGGUGAGUUGCAUUGGUGGAUCUCUUCAAAACUCUCUUCUAAAUUGUCUUUGCAUUUCAUUUAU